GGUAGACAGGAAGAAGCUUGCUUGCUUUGCUGACGAGUGGCGGACGGGUGAGUAAUGUCUGGGAAACUGCCUGAUGGAGGGGGAUAACUACUGGAAACGGUAGCUAAUACCGCAUAACGUCGCAAGACCAAAGAGGGGGACCUUCGGGCCUCUUGCCAUCGGAUGUGCCCAGAUGGGAUUAGCUAGUAGGUGGGGUAACGGCUCACCUAGGCGACGAUCCCUAGCUGGUCUGAGAGGAUGACCAGCCACACUGGAACUGAGACACGGUCCAGACUCCUACGGGAGGCAGCAGUGGGGAAUAUUGCACAAUGGGCGCAAGCCUGAUGCAGCCAUGCCGCGUGUAUGAAGAAGGCCUUCGGGUUGUAAAGUACUUUCAGCGGGGAGGAAGGGAGUAAAGUUAAUACCUUUGCUCAUUGACGUUACCCGCAGAAGAAGCACCGGCUAACUCCGUGCCAGCAGCCGCGGUAAUACGGAGGGUGCAAGCGUUAAUCGGAAUUACUGGGCGUAAAGCGCACGCAGGCGGUUUGUUAAGUCAGAUGUGAAAUCCCCGGGCUCAACCUGGGAACUGCAUCUGAUACUGGCAAGCUUGAGUCUCGUA
rnacentral:rRNA from 1 species